AUGAAUAGUCCACAGGUUGAUUACACCAGUAAUCUACUAGCUUCUAACAGUGGGAGAGACAUUCUGGGAGCAAAUCAAGUGGACCAGAUGGCAGUGCACCAUGAGGGACAAUAUUUAGACACCCAUGCUGGAUUUAUGAAUGGUCUACAUGUUGAUUACACCAUUAAUAACACUGAGAGUUCUGGAUACAAUCCUCCUGCCGGAAUACAGAUGGAUAUACCGUCCAACACGUAUCCUAUGAAUGACGACAUGUCUUAUAUGCCAUCGGAAAUUAACAUGUUUGGUGGACAAUAUUCUCAUGCAAAUGCCAUGCCAAUCCAGAGAGACUACUGCGAUACUUCGUUUUGGAAUAGUAACAUGCAUGCUCCAAUCCAGGAUGCCAUGACUAGUUACAGUCAGCCAUCCAUUCAUUCUGCUGCAUCUCUGGAAGAACCUUUUCAUCAGCUCCUAUUAUCAGAAUACAACUCAAUGCCCGAGCCUGGUGGACAAAAUUCUCAUGCUGAUGGGAUGUCAACCCAGAACUACCACUACUACAAUCCUUAUUGA
rnacentral:rRNA from 1 species